rnacentral:rRNA from 1 species
UACAGAGGGUGCGAGCGUUGUCCGGAAUCACUGGGCGUAAAGGGCGCGUAGGUGGCGACCCAAGUCGAUGGUGAAAGCUCCCGGCUCAACUGGGAGAGCGCGUGGGAGACUGGGUAGCUAGAGACUCGGAGAGGGGUGUGGAAUUCCCGGUGUAGUGGUGAAAUGCGUAGAUAUCGGGAGGAACACCAGUGGCGAAGGCGGGUCUCUGGGCAAUUCCUGACGCUGAGGCGCGAAAGCGUGGGGAGCAAACGGGG